rnacentral:rRNA from 1 species
UACGGAGGGGGCGAGCGUUGUCCGGAUUUAUUGGGCGUAAAGCGAGCGCAGGUGGUUUAUUAAGUCUGGUGUAAAAGGCAGUGGCUCAACCAUUGUGUGCAUUGGAAACUGUUAGACUUGAGUGCAGUAGAGGAGAGUGGAAUUCCAUGUGUAGCGGUGAAAUGCGUAGAUAUAUGGAGGAACACCGGUGGCGAAAGCGGCUCUCUGGACUGUAACUGACACUGAGGCUCGAAAGCGUGGGUAGCAAACAGG